GGUUUCGUGGUGUAGUUGGUUAUCACGUGAGUCUAACACACUCAAGGUCUCUGGUUCGAUCCCGGACGAAACCA